rnacentral:rRNA from 1 species
AUUGACCGCUGGCGGCAGGCCUAACACCUGCAAGUCGAGCGGAGCGGCAGACGGGUGAGUAAUGCCUAGGAAUCUGCCUGGUAGUGGGGGAUAACGUCCGGAAACGGGCGCUAAUACCACCUACUAUCCGAUGGGCCUAGGUCGGAUUAGCUAGUUGGUGGGGUAACGGCCUACCAAGGCGACGAUCCGUAACUGGUCUGAGAGGAUGAUCAGUCAAACUGGAACUGAGACACGGUCCAUACUCCGACGGGAGGCAGAAGUGGGGAAUAUUGGACAAUGGGCGAAAGCCUGCUCCAGCCAUGCCGCGUGUGUGAAGAAGGUCUUCGGAUUGUAAAGCACUUUAAGUUGGGAGGCGUUACCAACAGAAUAAGCACCGGCUAACUUCGUGCCAGCAGCCGCGGUAAUUC